UACGUAGGGGGCAAGCGUUGUCCGGAUUUAUUGGGCGUAAAGAGCGUGUAGGCGGUUUGGAGGUCCGUUGUGAAAACUCGAGGCUCAACCUCGAGACGCCGGAGUGAAACCACAGAGCUAGAGUCCGGAAGAGGAGAGUGGAAUUCCUGGUGUAGCGGUGAAAUGCGCAGAUAUCAGGAAGAACACCCGCGGCUAAGGCGGCUCUCUAGUACGGUACUACGGCGUCGAGACGCGAAAGCGUGGGGAGCAAACAGGAUUAGAACUACCUA
rnacentral:rRNA from 1 species